rnacentral:rRNA from 1 species
GAUGAACGCUGGCGGCGUGCUUAACACAUGCAAGUCGAACGGUGAAAGAGAGCUUGCUCUCUGGAUCAGUGGCGAACGGGUGAGUAACACGUGAGCAAUCUGCCCCUGACUCUGGGAUAAGCGCUGGAAACGGCGUCUAAUACCGGAUACGAGCUGCGAAGGCAUCUUCAGCAGCUGGAAAGAACUUCGGUCAGGGAUGAGCUCGCGGCCUAUCAGCUAGUUGGUGAGGUAAUGGCUCACCAAGGCGUCGACGGGUAGCCGGCCUGAGAGGGUGACCGGCCACACUGGGACUGAGACACGGCCCAGACUCCUACGGGAGGCAGCAGUGGGGAAUAUUGCACAAUGGGCGCAAGCCUGAUGCAGCAACGCCGCGUGAGGGACGACGACCUUCGGGUUGUAAACCUCUUUUAGCAGGGAAGAAGCGAAAGUGACGGUACCUGCAGAAAAAGCACCGGCUAACUACGUGCCAGCCGCCGCAGUAAUAC